GACGAACGCUGGCGGCGUGCUUAACACAUGCAAGUCGAACGGAAAGGCCCUGCUUUUGUGGGGUGCUCGAGUGGCGAACGGGUGAGUAACACGUGAGUAACCUGCCCUUGACUUUGGGAUAACUUCAGGAAACUGGGGCUAAUACCGGAUAGGAGCUCCUGCUGCAUGGUGGGGGUUGGAAAGUUUCGGCGGUUGGGGAUGGACUCGCGGCUUAUCAGCUUGUUGGUGGGGUAGUGGCUUACCAAGGCUUUGGCGGGUAGCCGGCCUGAGAGGGUGAACGGCCACAUUGGGACUGAGAUACGGCCCAGAGUCCUACGGGGGGCAGCAGUGGGGAAUAUUGCACAAUGGGCGGAAGCCUGAUGCAGCAACGCCGCGUGCGGGAUGACGGCCUUCGGGUUGUAAACCGCUUUCGCCUGUGACGAAGCGUGAGUGACGGUAAUGGGUAAAGAAGCACCGGCUAACUACGUG
rnacentral:rRNA from 1 species